rnacentral:pre_miRNA from 1 species
UUUCUACUCCCUCCGUCCGAAAAUACUUGUCAUCAAAAUGUAUAAAAAGAGAUGUAUCUAAAACUAAAAUACGUCUAGAUACAUUUCCUUUUAUCCAUUUUGAUGACAAGUAUUUCCGGACGGAGGGAGUAUUUG